CCCAAACAGAGCACAGAGCGGUGAAUGCCAGUCAUUUACCUUUGCUCGCUGUAUAUAUAUCUACAACUUGUAAGAUUGUAUAGCACUGUGGUACCUGGUGCUUAACUGACGAACCAGCGGUCAAAAAGGCAGCUGCGACUUUCUUGGCUCCUACAUGGCUUCACUCAGAGACACUGGCGGUCAUCACACCCCUCCGACUUUCAGCGUUGGAAACCAUGAGCGGGGCUGACAAACUGGGAGUGAGAGCCAGACGGAGGAGCACGCUCUUGAGCGUGAGAGACAGAAGCUGAAAAGCUGAAAAUGAACUCUGAACAUUAUAAAGUGUUGUAAAAAGAAUAAAAGAGUG